CUGUUCCGACCUUCUAGCGGCGGACGGGUGAGUAACGCGUAAGUAACCUGCCCUUUAGUUGGGGAUAACAUCUCGAAAGGGAUGCUAAUACCGAAUGUGGUCGCUCUGCUGUAAGGUGGGGUGAGUAAAGGCUUCGCCCGCUAAAGGAGGGGCUUGCGUCUUAUUAGCUAGUUGGUGGGGUAACGGCCUACCAAGGCUACGAUGGGUAGCUGGUCUGAGAGGAUGAUCAGCCAUAUUGGGAUUGAGAUACGGCCCAGGCUCCUACGGGAGGCAGCAAGUCAGAAUAUUGCACAAUGGGCGAAAGCCCGAUGCAGCGACGCCGCGUGGGUGAUGAAGGCUCUCGGGUUGUAAAGCCCUGUCAAGCGGGACGAAAAAAAUGACGGUACCGCUAGAGGAAGCCCCGGCUAACUACGUGCCAGCAGCCGCGGUGAUACGUAGGGGGCGAGCGUUGUCCGGAAUUAUUGGGCGUAAAGAGCGCGUAGGCGGGUAUGUAAGUCGGCUAUGAAAUCUCCAGGCUCAACCUGGAGGGGUUGGUCGAAACUACAUAUCUUGAGUACGGGAGAGGGAAGUGGAAUUCCUAGUGUAGCGGUGGAUUGCGUAGAUAUUAGGAGGAACACCAGUGGCGAAGGCGGCUUCCUGGCCCGAUACUGACGCUGAGGCGCGAAAGCUAGGGGAGCGAAUGGGAUUAGAUACCCCAGUAGUCCUAGCCGUAAACGAUGGACACUAGGUGUAGGAGGUAUCGACCCCUCCUGUGCCGCAGCUAACGCAAUAAGUGUCCGGCCUGGGGAUUACGGCCGCAAGGCUAAAACUCAAAGGAAUUGACGGGUCCCCGCACAAGCGGUGGGGUAUGUGUUUAAUUGGAAGCUACGCCAAAAACCUUACCGGGGUUUGACAUCCCCCGACGAGCCCAGAGAUGGGAAGUUCGGCUUCUAUCGAAGCCGACGGGGAGACAGGUGGUGCAUGGCAGUCGUCAGCUCGUGUCGUGAGAUGUUGGGUUAAGUCCCGCAACGAGCGCAACCCUUACCCUUAGUUGCCAGCACGUAAUGGUGGGAACUCUAAGGGAACUGCCAACGGUGAGUUGGAGGAAGGUGGGGAUGAUGUCAUGUCCGCAUGCCCCUUAUACCCCGGGCUACACACGUGCUACAAUGGCCUGCACAACGGGCAGCGAAGGAGUGAUCCGGAGCAAAUCCCUUAAAGCAGGUCCCAGUUCGGAUUGCAGGCUGCAACUUGCCCGCAUGAAGGAGGAAUCGCUAGUAAUCGCGGAUCAGCACGCCGCGGUGAAUACGUUCCCGGGGAUUGUACACACCGCCCGUCAAGCCAUGAAAGCUGGCAGUACCCGAAGUCGCUGUCCUAACCCGCAAGGGAGGGAAGCGCCGAAGGUAAGGCUGGUGAUUGGGGCUAAGUCGUAACAAGGUAGCCGUAGCGGAAGCUGCGGCUG
rnacentral:rRNA from 1 species